GUUCAAAAUGAUGUUUGUAGUAGAAUAUGGAAUAUGGUUGUAUAUGCCCUGAGAAAGAUAUGUACAAGACUAACCUUGUUGCAGCGAGGAAUGAGUUCUUGGAGGGCCUUCAUCUUCUCGUUGAUCUUUUCUCUCCGUCUCUGUUACAAAAAAAAAAAAAGAAAAAAAAAGAAUACUACAUUGUUAGUGAAUAAGAAACACAAGAGAGCCCCAGUGUUGAAACUCAAAGAGAGGAUAAAUAAUAUGAAGAACCCUUUCGGAGAUGUUAGAGCAUCAUUAUCGGGGUCUUUUAAGCCCGUCUCUUAGUGUUUUCAGAAUUAAAAAAAAAAAAAAAAUAGCAAUUAUCUCAAACUACGUCUCUUAAUCAAGCAAAAGAAGAGACGGUCUCUUCUUGCUCUCUCUAUCGCGAAGAAGGAAGAAAGAAGAAGAAGCCAUGGCAGGAGUAGGACUUUUCCGGUAGAAGGAGAAUUUGUGUUUGUAUGGACAUCCGAGUGAGUUGUGGGAAGUGAACGAAACCCUAAUUCUUCCUCUGGAUUCAAUUCGAUUUCUUCGUAAUCUGCCAUGGAUGCUCAACGAGCUCUGUUUGACGAACUUAUGGGCGCAGAGAUGUUGGAACAGAGGAGGAGGCUCUGUUGAAAAAUGUGGAGAGAAUGGAGUCGGACAUAGUAGCGGGAUGCUUUUGCAACGCGGCGCAGGUGAUUGGAAUGAAGUGUUUGGUGACGGCAGUGGAAGUGAGAGAAGCUGCGAUGCAUCUGGGGAGAACAGAGAAGAUACUUGAGAUUGUGGACAGGAGAUGCAUGCCUGCUUUAUCUCAUCACGAAGUGGCGAAGAUUGAUGAGUGGACAGAAGUUGGUGCGUUAUACUCUCCUAUUACUUUUCUUAAUUCGAAUUGAUUUCUUCUCUAGACUGCCUUGUUUCAGCUCCAUGUCUGUGGUAAGGCAGUUGAAUCAGUUUCAAGUUUAUUGAAUGCUUGAACUUGUGUUUACAAAGUGAAUGGUAACCGAAUGUAGUACCUACGGCAACAUAUGAUUCGCACGUUCAGCCUAGCAACGAGAUAAAAUUAAAUUUGAACUUGAAUUGCCAUAACUGAACAAAACGCUUUGUAAGACCUUAUUCACAUUUGUUAAAUCAUUUCAUUAUAUUACACCUUUGA